UCUCCAUUCCUUGCCUUUGACCAAUAGGAAUGAAGUUCUCCAUUCCUUGCCUUCAUCCAACCAUGUCUUACUUUCAUCCUUUCCAAUAAGCCUCCUACUAGUUAAGAUUUUUAUAUUAGGGUCACACAAUUAACUGUCUCUUGAUUAACUAAAUCAACAAAGAAAGCUAUGAUGCCUUCCACAUUCUAUCAAAUAAAAUAUUAUAAUCAAAAUUCUAUCUUAUGAAUUUACUGUCUCUUCUCUUCUCCUAAAUUAUAACAAUAAUAUAUAGUAUUGUACUAUCAUAAAAGACUACAUAAAAUAUUUCAUAAUUCAAUCACUAGAAUUUUCUAAAAUUAAUUGUCAUUCCUAGUAAUCUGCUUCAUACAAUUCCAAACUCCAGAGACUUCUUCUUGUGGCACC
rnacentral:lncRNA from 1 species